rnacentral:lncRNA from 1 species
UGCAUGUCAACACAAACCAGAAAUUUUACCUGGUUUAUAAAAUGUUGGAUCCAACCAUUUCCCCAAAGAUAUGUCCAAAAUGUUCAAUAUAGAAAGUACAAGUUUAAAACUAUUCUUUUGACAUUUGCUAUAUAAACCUCUGCCUGAGACAGGUGUGUUGGCCAUAAGACACUGCAAACCUAAGUACGUAAACAUGCUACUAAAUUACUCUUUGAGAAGGGGUUUGAUUGGAUACAUGCUUUCUAGUGUUUCAGCUGACACUCUGAAGCCUUGGCAGCCUGAACCACACAGCGAACAGGUUCCUAGGAUGCUCUUAGGAUCUGCUGAUUAAACUGAUAUCCUUCUGUGGAUGCACUUCAGGGCAUUUAACUCCAAGGGCCAGAGCUUCUACCAGAGGUACUGUGGCUCGCCAGGAGAUGGCACAGAUCCCAGUGACCCGGCAUGUGUGUGAAUGAUAGAAGCAUAGUGUGAUUCGGGUUCUAGAGAGAUGACUAAGAAAUGGUCUGCUAUUUUGUGUUUUAAGAUUUUAGUUAUAUUUUGUAAAAGAAAAAAAAGAAGCUAAAUAUAUGAAAACUUAUUUUAAUAGUAUGAGGGAAGCGAAGAUAAGUGGCCAUCAAGGAAAACUUGACAAGGCAUAGAAGAGCCUAUUCCUACUUCUGAUUUGUAGUGAUUCGGGGAGCUUAGAAGAGAGGGGGGCAGAAGUCUGCUGCAUACCUUAGUCAGACUGUUGGCUUUCAUCGUAUUGUCUCAGGUCCG